GCAGAGGUCCCAUCAUGUUAUAAUACUGCUGGAGAGGAGGCAGAGGUCCCAUCAUGUUAUAAUACUGCUGGAGAGGAGGCAGAGGUCCCAUCAUGUUAUAAUACUGCUGAAUGGAGAGGAGGCAGAGGUCCCAUCAUGUUAUAAUACUGCUGAAUGGAGAGGAGACAGAGGUCCCAUCAUGUUAUAAUACUGCUGGAGAGGAGGCAGAGGUACCAUCAUGUUAUAUUACUGCUGGAGAGGAGGCAGAGGUCCCAUCAUGUUAUAAUACUGCUGGAGAGGAGACAGAGGUCCCAUCAUGUUAUAAUACUGCUGAAUGGAGAGGAGGCAGAGGUCCCAUCAUGUUAUAAUACUGCUGGAGAGGAGACAGAGGUCCCAUCAUGUUAUAAUACUGCUGGAUGGAGAGGAGACAGAGGUCCCAUCAUGUUAUAAUACUGCUGGAGAGGAGGCAGAGGUCCCAUCAUGUUAUAAUACUGCUGAAUGGAGAGGAGACAGAGGUCCCAUCAUGUUAUAAUACUGCUGGAGAGGAGACAGAGGUCCCAUCAUGUUAUAAUACUACUGGAGAGGAGGCAGAGGUCCCAUCAUGUUAUAAUACUGCUGGAGAGGAGACAGAGGUCCCAUCAUGUUAUAAUACUGCUGGAGAGGAGACAGAGGUACCAUCAUGUUAUAAUACUGCUGGAGAGGAGGCAGAGGUCCCAUCAUGUUAUAAUACUGCUGGAGAGGAGACAGAGGUACCAUCAUGUUAUAAUACUGCUGGAGAGGAGACAGAGGUCCCAUCAUGUUAUAAUACUGCUGGAGAGGAGACAGAGGUCCCAUCAUGUUAUAAUACUGCUGAAUGGAGAGGAGACAGAGGUCCCAUCAUGUUAUAAUACUGCUGAAUGGAGAGGAGGCAGAGGUCCCAUCAUGUUAUAAUACUGCUGGAGAGGAGACAGAGGUCCCAUCAUGUUAUAAUACUACUGGAGAGGAGGCAGAGGUACCAUCAUGUUAUAAUACUGCUGAAUGGAGAGGAGACAGAGGUCCCAUCAUGUUAUAAUACUGCUGGAGAGGAGACAGAGGUCCCAUCAUGUUAUAAUACUGCUGGAGAGGAGACAGAGGUACCAUCAUGUUAUAAUACUGCUGGAGAGGAGGCAGAGGUCCCAUCAUGUUAUAAUACUGCUGAAUGGAGAGGAGACAGAGGUCCCAUCAUGUUAUAAUACUGCUGAAUGGAGAGGAGACAGAGGUCCCAUCAUGUUAUAAUACUGCUGAAUGGAGAGGAGACAGAGGUCCCAUCAUGUUAUAAUACUGCUGAAUGGAGAGGAGACAGAGGUCCCAUCAUGUUAUAAUACUGCUGGAGAGGAGACAGAGGUCCCAU